AAGUCGUAACAAGGUUUCCGUAGGUGAACCUGCGGAAGGAUCAUUAAAAAUUUAUAUUCCGGGAAUUCGUUUCGUUUUCCCGGAUUAUUUGUAUUCAAAUCCCACUCUUUCUAAAUAUAUUAAUUAUAUAAAACAAAAAAUAAAAAAGAAAACUUUCAACAACGGAUCUCUUGGCUCUC
rnacentral:misc_RNA from 1 species